CUUAACCCUAAAACAGCCCCCUUCCCUCUCUCUCUCUCUAUCUCUCUUUGUAUUUGGUUGAAAAAUUGGUGAUUUGCUUGGUAUUCAAGCUUGAAAUUGAAGAAUUGUUUGAGGAGUUGUGGCUUGAUCAUUGCAUUGAAGCUUGAGGAAAGGGUAAAUCUAUCUCUGAUCAGCCAUGAGUAUGGGAGUUGGGCGAUGUAUGUACAUGUUCGGGCCACACUAGACCAAGCGGGUUGGGGUCUACCAGCGUUGAAACUUUUGUAACUCUAUUUUUGCCGCUUAGGUCGGCUAAGGAGAAAAGACUUGUAAUAUUUUGUAAAAUGAUUUUUUUUGGGAUCCCGAAACAUGUAACUUUUGUUUGUAAGGUUAAAAUUAUUACAAGUUUAUUUUCAUUC